UACGUAGGGACCAAGCGUUGUUCGGAUUUACUGGGCGUAAAGGGCGCGUAGGCGGGAUGGCAAGUCGGUCGUGAAAUCCCUCGGCUCAACUGAGGAUCGUCGAUCGAUACUGCCGUUCUGAGGAUUGCAGAGGAGACUGGAAUUCCCGGUGUAGCGGUGAAAUGCGCAGAUAUCAGGAGGAACACCAAUGGCGAAGGCAGCUCGCUGGGACGGUACUGACGCUGAGGCGCGAAAGCGUGGGGAGCGAACAGGA
rnacentral:rRNA from 1 species